rnacentral:lncRNA from 1 species
GGAUUACAGUUGUCAGCCACCACUCCCGGACUAGGCUAGUUCUUUAAUCAAGCAAUUGCACACCUACAUAUAUGUUCAAGAGAAUUUGUUACCUAUGACUACAAAAUAAUUAUAGCAGUGUGUUUAUAAUAGCUUUAUUAGGUAAAUAUUAGAAGUAAUUCAAGCAUUAGUAAACAAGAGAAGAGAAAAAUAAUUUGAGCUAUAUUUUUAUUGUAGAAUGAUAGAUCACAGUAAUAAUCAUAAAGAACCAGCAACUGAUGAAUCAACAACAUGGGAGAAUUUCACAACUACUGUGUUUAACAAAAAUACACCAGGCACAAAAGAGUGUAUAUUGCAUAAUUCCACACAUGAAUUUCAAGAAUGGACAAAACCAAUCAAUCGUGAUAGAUGUUAUAUUGUUUCUAUUUUGAGAAUUUUACUUACUGGAAGGAAGCAUAAGCAUGCCUUUGAGGUGCUUAUAAUUUUCUGUAACUUGCUCUGGGUGGUAAUUUCAUGGGUUUAUACGUAUGUCAAAAUUCAAAGAUUCACUUAAAAAUACAGCUUUUAAAAAAUAGUUUACUACACCUAUGCAUUUCUUUCUUUUGAAGAAAAGUAAAAAUAUAAGAGAAAAUUCAAAUGACACAGGUUCUGUAGAAUGACACAGAUCUAUAAGCUUUUAGGUAGACCAUAAAAUUUAAUGUAAUAUAGUUAAACAGAAGAAGAAUGGAUAUGUUUAAUACUUACCUAUCUUGAAAUCAACUGGGUCCAUAUGAAAUGUAUCUUUGGUUACCUAUGAGAUGCCAGAAAUAAUACCCAUGACAGUGUUCUUGGCUACAAUUUCUGAGAAAGUUAGAACCAUGAAAGUGUUUGAUAUGAAAUAUAUAUAUAUACACAUACAUAAUCUUCCUUUCAUUAAGGGUUUUAUAUCUAGAUUCAUUGGAAAUAUAAUAUUUAACACCAUAAAGUUCCACCCAAGAAAUCGUUUAGCCGCAAAUUUCAAAAUGUUGUUUCUAUUUUUAUUAAAUUUUAAAUAUGAUAUGAUUUCUCUUGUGACUUUUUGUUUGAUACACAGGUUAAAUUUAAAAGUAUAUUGUUUGUUUCCCUAGAUUUGGUGAUUUUUCCAAGAUUACAUCAAGAUUAUCUUUCUAACACUGUUUUUUAGUUUACUUUCAAUCUAAUUAGAGCUGAUACUUGGUGUGAUUUCACUUUUUAAAACUAUGUCAACAUUUGUUUGAUGCCUCAGAAUAUGUUUUAUUUUAGUUAAUGUUCCUUGCACACUAAAAUGAAUAGUUUCCCUGAUGCUCUUGAGUGGAAUAUUCAAUAGAUGUCAAUUAGGCCAAGCUGAUUGAUAAUACUGCUGAGAUCUUAUAUAUUCUUGAUGAUAUUCUGGCUAACUGUUCUAUCAAUUACUGGGAAGGGAAUAGCGAAGUUUCCAACUGUAAUUGUAUACUUCUCUGUUUCAUUUCAGUUUCACAUGGUUUUUGCCUUAUGAAUAUAGAAUCUCUGUAUUAGGUUAAUACACAUUUAGGAUUACUAUGUAUUAAUGGUGAAUUGACUUCUUAUGUGAACACCCUUUUCAUCCCUACUGUUCUGAAGCCUGCAUCUUCUGAUCUUAAUAAAGCCAAUUUGUCUGUCUCCUAAUUAAUGACUGCAUGAUCCGUAUUUUUCCAUUCUUUUUAAACCUCUAGUUAAAUAUCUAGCUAAAGGUGAUUUCUUGGAGGCAGCUUAGAGAUGAAGCUUGAUUUUUAAAUCAAAUAUUACAUGCUCUGUCUUUAAAAUUUGAAAUUUGUACCAUUUAAUUUGGUCUAAUUAUUGCUAUAAUUGACUUAAAUCUACCCAACAUUUUGUCAGUUCUUUACUACUUGUUUUAUUUCUUCUUUAUUUCUUAUUUUUCCUUUUUCUCUAUACUUCAGAUGGUAUAUUUUAUUAUGAUUCUAUUUUAUGUCUGCUAUUGGCUGAGUGAUUAUACACUAGGGUUUACAUCUUAUAUGUUUGAAUUAUCACAUUUUCUCCUCAAAUAGUAUUAUACCACUGCCCAUGUAUAUUACAAAAAUCUUAAUACAGUAUACUUACAAUUCCUUCAAUCUCCAUGCUACUGUUGUGCGUUUAACUUUUGCCUAUAUUAUAAACCGCGAAAUGAGUCACUUAUGUUGCUUUAAAGUCCCAGUGUUCUUUUAAAACAAAUAUAAAUAAGAAGAAAGUUAUAUUUAUCUACAUUUUUAUCAUUUCCAGAUUAUUUCUUUAGAUACAAGCUUUUGUUUUAUUUCAUAGUGUUUCUAUAUGAACUUCUUCUAAUAGUUCUCAUGGAAUCAGUAUAAUGGCAAUUAAUUCUUUCGGGCUUGUUUUUCCAUCUGCAUACAGCAUUUCCUAGUUCUCAAACAGAACUGUAGUUUAUGUGUAUGGCUUUGUUGCUUUCUCUUUGGGUGGUGUUUUGUUAUUGUUCUUGUUUGUUUGUUUUUUGCAGCCUCUUCUCAUUGGUGGAAUUUUGGUACUUAAACACCAGACUACUACAGAAGAUUUUUCUCUGUCUAGCUUCCUCUACCUUCUUCUUCCUUCAGGUCCUCAUGAAACUCUGAUUCAGAUCAGAGUGAUACUCUUUUCCCUUAAAAUUCUGCCUUUAGAGUAUGUAUUGCUUAGUCUUUAAAUGUAUUUUUUACAUGUUUAAUAUCUAGAAAAUAUCUUUGGAGGGAUAUAUACUAUGCAUUUAUACCAAAUGAAUCCCAGUAGCUUAACUUUGACCUAUAUGCAUCACUAAACUAAGAAAUCUUACUCUACUUUUCUAGAUGAGCCCCCUAAAUCCAUGGCACCCUCCCCCUGAAUAAUAAUUUUAAAAAAAUGCCCACAUAGUAAAUUGGCCCUGUGUUGAAGAACUUCUACAUUCCAGUCUGUCAAAAAAUCCACUGAUAUGUUUACAAUAGUACCUAUGGUAAGCCUCAGCCUCGGGGAAUAAAAUAACUUAAUAUCAGUUCACCUUACAAGUGCUCAUCACUUUGUAGAAUUUUAGUUCAUAGAUUUCUUUAUUCUAUAGCUCUCUGAUUUCUUUUAAAUUAUUAUGUUUGUAAUAUAUAUUCUUUCUCAUUGCAUAGGAAACAAUACCUUAUAUCUACUUGGCACUCCUUACCAAAGAGAAGGAAUCUAAAUGCUUUAGUAGUCCACUUAAGACAUUUCCAUUUACUUUCAAUGUUAUAGAUAAUUCUUAACUUGAACAUAUGUGUGCAUAGUGGCUAUUAUUUAGUUUCUCUAUUUUAGAGCUACUAUUUUAUUAUAUAUUUCCAAUAGUACAGCUGACAGCUUUAAUAGUUUUGAGAUAUUGAAGUUAGACAUAUAUGUUUAACUAUUUUCCAAACAGUCGGCAUCUAAUUAUCUGUCAAUAUAAUUGUUCAUAGCUGGAACUAGGGAUGUGAAUUUCUUUCCAAAACCAUAUAACAUAAUGAAAUCAACAGAAUGACAUACAUGCAAAUUCAAAAAAGGUGUAUUGAGAUUAACAAGGGAAGAAUGAUAGACACACUUACCAGAGUAAAAUUUAGAGCAAAAAAUACAAAUUAUAAGAAAUGAUCGUUACGGGGGAGCUAAGAAUCUGGUUUAAGUCCCACAGAGGAGCCGCCUGCCUAUAGAAGAUGGCGUUCAACUUCGCUAGGUAAAUGUUAUUAGAAAAGAUUCCUAUUUGAAUUUAUCUUCAAACUCUAAGCUGAAAUGCAUUUACAAAAAAAGGCUUAGAUUUAAAGACCACCGCAAGGAAUUUUCUUAGGUUGGGGACAUAGUUUGAUUGGGUUUCACACAAGCUGUAGUUUUACCAGCAUAGUGUUCGCAAUUUUGCAAUUGCUUGUCAAUUGAUACAACAAUGCAACAAUUUUUCCAUGAAAUUUCUGAUAUCUUCUUGAAGAGAAAAUGACAUAUAACUAGAAUAUUAUUAAUAAAAAUUUGGCUCACUAGCAGAUAAGGAAACCCAGGAACAGUAGCAAAAUCCCACAUUAUAGCAAAACAAUGAAUUGACAAACCCUGCAACAAUUUAGGACGACUGAGUCCAUAUGUCAAUUUUGGAUCCUGGGACAAUAUCAAUUUUCCAGUUGACAUAUAUUUCCAGGGUCCGGGUCUAGGCUGUUGAUAGGGUAACAAACUAGAAACAAAUCUAGGUAAUAUUUUUGAGAUUUUUCGUGGCCUAAGCACAUGAUUAUUUUAUUUCGUAUGCUAUAUGAACAUUUAAAAAUAAAAUGUAUCCAUCACAGAAGUCAGUUUGUGAUACAUUUAUUAAUUGAACCAUACUAUUUUAACAUGUUUAAUAUCUACUAUAUUCUUAUUUAAAUAUGUUAUUAUAACUGUCAACAUACCUAUAGAAAUAACUAUGUAUAUUACAUUCAUUAUUUAUAAUGCUCAAGAGACCUACCUAAUUAUUACAAAACCUCAACUGAAGUCUUCCAUUUUAUAGUCCAAAACCACAAACUUCAUAAGUGUCAGAUUUAUUAAUAAGGUAAGUUUAUUUCUGGUUCCAAACCUUGACAUUUUUGGCCCGCGAUUACUAUCUAUCCCAACCAUAUCCAGCCAAAUGCAGGCAGUCGCUCUGCUACUGGAGGCAGUUUUUUUAGUGACCCACCCAGAAUCUCUCCCCAGCUCAUUCAUUUUCCAUACAUGUUGUUUUCCAUGUUUUAUUUUAUCUUUUUACUUUUCAUCUUUGCAGAAACUUCUUGUCAGCACAAAAAGGAGAAACCAACAAGAGGUAGAAUAUUGUCUCCUGAAUAUGUGAGACCAUUGGCAUUAUCCAUCUUUAACCUAGGUUACAAGACAAACUUAGAAGAAUGGUUUUUCAUUUACUAUUUUUUAUGGAAACUCAUUAUUUGACACUAGUUACGUAAAGAUAAAAAUGACUACGCUCUUUAAACCAGCUCCUGAAGUAGAUAUGUAAUUUCGUUCUGAUUUAUUUUUCAACAGUUUUCUUCCAUUUCAAGUAUUGUUCCCAGCAAAGUGCCUUGUACUCAGUUGAACUUUGGAAGUGCAGAUGGAGCACAAGACCUCCAGUACGGAGCUGGCUUUGCUGGCUUCUCCAUCAGACUCUUCCCAGAUGGUCCCAGGUGGCCUCUGCUUCAGCCUUUCACCAGUCCAUAUUGCAACAUUUUCUGAGGCUUCGUAGUUGAAAAAUUUAGAGAAAAUGAAGGCCAUUCGGAAUUUCCAUGUUCAUGUGUGAAAGAAAUAACUGAAAUGUCAAAAUAAUUUUCUUCUGCUGAGGAAAAAAUAUUCUGAUUAUAUGGGUUAAGUAAAUGUAAAUAUGCUUCUAAGCAGAACUAAAAAGGUGCAGAAGAGUAAUAAUAUAUCACUAACAAUUAGGCAUUUAUUCAAAAGAUAGCUCCAAUCAGAGUCUCACAAACUUACCUGAAGAUUUUCAAUGGCAUAAAAUACUGUUUUUACAAAGUCAUAAACAUAAUAAUCCAUGUUUUACUGCCUGAUCACAAAGAAUCCAUACAUCAUACAAAUAUUAACUCAUCAUUUGGUGCCUCAGCAUGUCAAAUGAAACCAAAGUAUACAUGGUGAAUUUUAUUCCCCAUGAGGGAGGUAUUUGGGAAAACAUUUAAGGAAAUGUUUCUUCCUUACUAUUUUGCACAUUUUUGUAGAUGGGACUAAUGGUACAGCCCAGAAACAUUGUUUUAAGGCUUUGUGAGAAUGAGUUGUUUGGUUACUAUGGAAUAAUCAAUGAAAGGAGCAGUUUUGUCAAGAUUUUAGUAAACAGUGAUGUAUAAAACGUUUUAAAGAUAUAAUCUUUGUUCUUA